UCCAGCACCUGUCAGAGCGCAGGGUGCUGCCGGCCCGAGGCGAGGAGUGAAGACGCAUCGCCUUCCGCUCUCCCCCUCUACUUGCCCCUAAUUGCUAUCUAGUGACUGGCCUAGUGACUGGCCUGGCUUUACCGUGUAUCCUUCUUGUAUUCUGUGUGCCAGACUCUCUGCUAACGCGCUCAAGAUACCUUACUAAUGAGGCAGGUCGACAAUGAAAUAAUCACCUUCCAUCUGUAGUAAAAGCUACAGGAACAUUUAACAAGGAGGCCUAAUGUACACUGGGAGGUAGAGAGUCAGAGAAAAGAAAAUGUCCACUCCAGAAAAUCAAAAUUGUGUGUGGGAGUAAGAUUUAUUUUAGGAAUGUACCAAGAAGAUCCCAGCUGACGACCAUGACUACGGCUCGGGUGCAUUCAUGUCUCUGCCUGCAGGAAGUUCACAGUGGCCAGUCACCUUGGAAAUAAGUCAUAAGCACGAGGAAAAUUAAAUGACGAAAAACUAUGACACUUAAUGGCAAAGAUACGUGAGAGGUCCAGAGCAAGUUCCCCAUGGAGUUCUGCAUGUGGCUGAGAGAAAGCUGAAGGGGUUUUGAAACCAGACAAUGCUGAAGCUCUGAAGCCAUGGGAAAGAAUUCAGGAUGAGUUAGAAAGGAGCAUGCCAAACAGGUCUGAGCAUAAGCUGACUGCAUCUACAAGGAUUGAGGCACCUGGUGUUAGCACAUCUGAAUUGCAGUUUCGGCUCUUGAGAGAAGAAAAUAAACCUUUUGAAAAUCGAGCCCCAAAACAUAUGAAAUGAGGACAAAUUUUAUAUCUUCCUACAAAGAGAAGAGGAAGCCAGUUCUCUCUGCAGGAAAUGGCAGACCAUCUUAGCUCAGCCGAUGUGCACGGCCAGAAUUCAUUAUUCUGAAGAGUAAAGCAAGGUGAAGAGAGCAGGGCAAGUGGUGCAGGCCACCUUCUUAUUUGGCGACUGUUUCCUGAUGGAACAUUCCCUUCCUGAGCAUUCAUUACCCAAGACCUUCUCCUCUUCUCUUCACCAAUCCUGACAUCAUCUACCCAAACCCAGCCCCUAGUCUGGGAAGCCAGCCCUGCUUUGGCAGUCCUCACUCCAGGCCUGUUUCAACACCUGCCCAUAGAGAUUACUUCAAUAGAAGCAGCAGUAUCUCCCCCUCAAUUCAAGUCAAGACAGAAGGAAGUCCAUAUACUUCUCCUUCUGAAACAGCUUUUGCUGGUUCCCUUUGUGACUGCUGACAGUUCCGUUAGCACCUGAAGUUUUUUGCUAAGAAUUUAAAGCUAAAUGUUCUAAAUAACUAUAUAAAUUUUAACUUCAGGCAUAGAUAUAACAAAUACAUAAAUGCGCAAAAGAAGCCUACUCUAAUUCUAUUCUAAGUGAUACAUUUCUAAAAUAUAAAGAAUUUCAGCUAUAGGCCAAAAUAAAAACCACAAUAGCUAUAUAUUGAACACUACUUGCUAAGUCCUUUAUAUCAUCUAAUUUAAUCUUUACUAACUUAAUCAGUAAUUUAACUGGGAAUUUAAUUACUACUAAUUUUACUGAAGUCUAAUUUAAACCUAUGGGGGUACUUUCACUAUCUCCAGCUUAAUAUGAGGAAACAGACUUAACAGAAAUUAAGUCAUUUGUCGGGCGCCUGGGUGGGCUCCAUCCGUUAACCAUCUGCCUUUGGCUUAGGUCAUGAUCCCAGGAUCCUGGGAUUGAGUCCCACGUCAGUCUGCCUGUUCAGUGGGGAGUCUGCUUCUCCCUCUGCCCCUACGCCCCGUCCCCCCACUUGUGCAUGCUCUCUCUCUCUUUCUCAAAAAUAAAUAAAUAAAUCUUUAAAAAAGAAAAAGAAAUUAAGUCAUUUGUCCAAGGCCACAGAGCUAGUGAGUUGAAGAAGAUGGAGCUAUUAACCAGUUCUUGUUUCUCCCAUUAAUAAAAAAAGCCAGCCAA